GUCUACGGCCAUACCACCCUGAACGCGCCCGAUCUCGACUGAUCUCGGAAGCUAAGCAGGGUCGGGCUUGGUUAGUACUUGGAUGGGAGACAUUGUCCUGGCAGGAAGUCAUAUGUCCAGAGGUU
rnacentral:rRNA from 1 species